rnacentral:rRNA from 1 species
GGCGGACGGGUGAGUAACGCGUAGGAAUCUACCUGGUAGUGGGGGACAACAUGUGGAAACGCAUGCUAAUACCGCAUACGACCUAAGGGUGAAAGUGGGGGACCUUCGGGCCUCACGCUAUCGGAUGAGCCUGCGUAGGAUUAGCUAGUUGGUGAGGUAAGAGCUCACCAAGGCGACGAUCCUUAGCUGGUCUGAGAGGAUGAUCAGCCACACUGGGACUGAGACACGGCCCAGACUCCUACGGGAGGCAGCAGUGGGGAAUAUUGCGCAAUGGGCGAAAGCCUGACGCAGCCAUGCCGCGUGUGUGAAGAAGGCCUUAGGGUUGUAAAGCACUUUCAAUUGGGAGGAAAGGUUGUAGGUUAAUAGCCUGCAACUGUGACGUUACCUUUAGAAGAAGCACCGGCUAACU